GAUCCUGGCUCAGGAUGAACGCUAGCGGCAGGCUUAACACAUGCAAGUCGAGGGGCAGCAUAAUGGAUAGCAAUAUCUAUGGUGGCGACCGGCGCACGGGUGCGUAACGCGUAUGCAACCUACCUUUAACAGGGGGUAUAACACUGAGAAAUUGGUACUAAUACCCCAUAAUAUCAUAGAAGGCAUUCUUUUAUGGUUGAAAAUUCCGAUGGUUAGAGAUGGGCAUGCGUUUGUAUUAG
rnacentral:rRNA from 1 species